rnacentral:rRNA from 1 species
UUGGAGGGCAAGUCUGGUGCCAGCAGCCGCGGUAAUUCCAGCUCCAAUAGCGUAUAUUAAAGUUGCUGCAGUUAAAAAGCUCGUAGUUGGAUUUCGGAACCAAUAUGUUGGUUGUGCCUCGGUACGUACUGGCAUUGUUGGUUUCUCCCUUCUGACGAACUAUGAUGUCAUUAAUUUGGUGUCAUGGGGAAUCAGGACUGUUACCUUGAAAAAAUUAGAGUGUUUAAAGCAGGCUCACGCUUGAAUACAUUAGCAUGGAAUAAUGAAAUAGGACGUUUGAUUCUAUUUUGUUGGUUUCUAGGAUUGACGUAAUGAUUAAUAGGGAUAGUUGGGGGCAUUAGUAUUCAAUUGUCAGAGGUGAAAUUCUUGGAUUUAUUGAAGACUAACUACUGCGAAAGCAUUUGCCAAGGAUGUUUUCAUUAAUCAAGAACGAAAGUUAGGGGAUCGAAGACGUUCAGAUACCGUCGUAGUCUUAACCAUAAACUAUGCCGACUAGGGAUCGGAUGAUGUUAAUUUUUUAAUGACUCAUUCGGCGCCUUACGGGAAAC